CCUGUUUAUCUUCUCUUUUCCUUCUGCUUUUUACUUUCAUUUUUUAGCCUCAUUUUUAUCACUACAGCUUCUCAUCACUCUAAUAUAUUGGCUAUUUGGGAUAUUUUUAUCCAUAUUGGAUGAUUACAGCUUUCCAUUCCAGUUAAACUGUUGGUGUCUACUUUCUUGAAAUAGGGUUUUGUUUUGGUUUGUUCUUGGUCGAUAUAGAUGGUUAAAUCCAGGAAAUCCACUCUUUGUAAACUAUGUGUGGAGAUGGG